rfam:Geobacter sulfurreducens PCA, complete genome.
GGCCCGCAACCCAGGUGGAGCCGUCAUCCUUUUUUUCGGAUAUACUGCCUGGAUUCACGACUGAACCGGGACGGAAGG